UCCCUGAUGGCUCAGACGGUAAAAGCGUCUGCUUGCAAUGCCAGAGACCCAGGUUUGAUACCUGGGUAGGGAA
rnacentral:tRNA from 1 species